ACGCGGAGUGUGUGUUUCGCGUAGGGGCGAAAUGUUUUGUUGUGGCGAUCAGCUGAACGUGGCACCGCCGUCGGGCUUGACAGCGCAGCGAGCCGCCCUCCCCGGCUCUCCCCCCGAACAGACGCGGACACGGAGCGAUCGCAUCCGGCGCAUCUCGGUCCAGGAAAUGCGGACUUCUUCUUGUGGCCCUUUCGCUGUGGGAUCCGCGGCUGCAGCGCACGUACAGUAACAAGCUGCUACACACCCACUCAAGCAGUCAUAUCCGCUCUCACUCUCUGGCUCUCCCUGCUCGUCUCGCAGUGCCUGUGAAGCGUCUCUGAGGGGGAAGACCAGUCUGCUGUCAGAUGCACUCAGAUGCUGAAUAGCUACAAUUCUUAUCAACCACCAAAGAAAAUGUGCAGAAGACCUUGGGUGGACUAUUACAAUGGCUGGCGAUCAACAGAAACUUAGCUGCUUUGCACAAAGAA